rnacentral:lncRNA from 1 species
UGGACUGCGCUAACCAUGGCAACAUGGCUUCUCUUUCAGAGCUGACUCACAUCUGGCCAGAGAGAAGUAAAGACAGCUGGAGCUCACAUCUGCCUGGAAAAUAGCACAUAGACAUACCCAUACGUAUGCUGGCCAACCCUGUAAUUAUAGACAAAGCCUACAAGAACUAAAAGAGGCCAACUGUAACUCAUCAAGGCCUUUUCCACUGAACGUACAUUUUGCUAAAAGAGAAUCUUGAAGAAAUUUUACAGGUCAUCAAGGUUGUGUCUGUCCUACUACCAGUCCAAGGAAUCUCCGAGCAGAGUCAACCAAGCAAAAACUCACCUCCAUCUAUUGACACGAAUGGGCAGAUGCUGAGGUGGUGUGAGAUGAUUUUCAAUGAGGUCAGUAAGCCUGUCUCUAUUUACAACCAGCUGUUGAUCCUGCAUUUUCAAGACCAUAUAACUGAGGUUUGGUACAAUAUAAAUAUAAUUCACUGAUUCUCUUUCAAUUUGUUAUUGAUUUUUGCAACUGU